AACGUUUUAUCCCCGAUUUCCUAGAUAAAGACUUAAAUAUUGUUGAAUGUUAUCAAACCUCUCUCGAACCUCGAUUUACGAGUAAUUGAGGUUCAUUUUCACGGAAUUUCCUAGAGUAAUACUAGUGAACGAAUUAUUCCUCGAUAUUUGGGAUAUGGGUGAUAAUUCACUAUUAUUUGCUCAGGCACGCACGAGGACCUCCAAGAGGACCCUACUGUGGAAGUUUGAACUCUUUCUCCAAUUUACUUGCUUGCAUAACUUGGUUUGAACUCGGAGGUAAAAUGGAGAAGCCCUCCUGAUGUAUUUUCGUUUUAGGGUUUGCUAUUACUUUUGGUUAUGCCUUUGAUUUUGGGAUUGUACUUUUGGUAUGGAAAUGUAACCUUUGGACGAAAUGUAUUUUGUAUACCGACGUGUGGUUUGGAGAAUGGAUGACUAUUAUUAAGUUUGAACGUUUCCGCAUUUUAUUGUAUCUAAGUUAUUGGCU